rnacentral:rRNA from 1 species
AUGAACGCUGGCGGCGUGCCUAAUACAUGCAAGUCGCGCGAACAGACGAGGAGCUUGCUCCUCUGACGUUAGCGGCGGACGGGUGAGUAACACGUGGAUAACCUACCUAUAAGACUGGGAUAACUUCGGGAAACCGGAGCUAAUACCGGAUAAUAUAUUGAACCGCCUGGUUCAAUAGUGAAAGACGGUUUUGCUGUCACUUAUAGAUGGAUCCGCGCCGCAUUAGCUAGUUGGUAAGGUAACGGCUUACCAAGGCGACGAUGCGUAGCCGACCUGAGAGGGUGAUCGGCCACACUGGAACUGAGACACGGUCCAGACUCCUACGGGAGGCAGCAGUAGGGAAUCUUCCGCAAUGGGCGAAAGCCUGACGGAGCAACGCCGCGUGAGUGAUGAAGGUCUUCGGAUCGUAAAACUCUGUUAUUAGGGAAGAACAAAUGUGUAAGUAACUAUGCACGUCUUGACGGUACCUAAUCAGAAAGCCACGGCUAACUACGUG